rnacentral:rRNA from 1 species
UAGGGAAUAUUGGACAAUGGGGGCAACCCUGAUCCAGCCAUGCCGCGUGAGUGAAGAAGGCCCUCGGGUUGUAAAGCUCUUUUGUCCGGAAAGAAAAGCAUUCGGUGAAUACCCGGAUGUUCUGACGGUACCGGAAGAAUAAGCACCGGCUAACUUCGUGCCAGCAGCCGCGGUAAUACGAAGGGUGCAAGCGUUACUCGGAAUUACUGGGCGUAAAGCGUGCGUAGGUGGUUGUUUAAGUCUGAUGUGAAAGCCCUGGGCUCAACCUGGGAAUGGCAUUGGAAACUGGGCAGCUAGAGUGCGGUAGAGGGUAGUGGAAUUCCCGGUGUAGCAGUGAAAUACGUAGAGAUCGGGAGGAACAUCUGUGGCGAAGGCGACUGCCUGGACCAGCACUGACACUGAGGCACGAAAGCGUGGGGAGCAAA